rnacentral:lncRNA from 1 species
GGCCCUUUUCAGCUCAUUAGCAUUUGUGUUUGCCCGGGGUGGGGGGGUGUGUGGGGGGGGAGAAUCCACCAUUCCAGCUCAGGCAAUCAGCUGCCAGCUCCUCCCCUCUGUGAGCAAUGAUCCUGACUUCAGACCUUGCCUGAACAUUCCUCAUAGCACUUGCCUUCUUUUUCCUGAAAUCAAGGGUGUGUGGACCACCUGGGGAUCUCCAUUCCCACACACAGCAUCCUCUCCCACUGAGGCCAGACAUGGCAGUCCAUUAAGGGAACAGAUUCCAAAGAUAGGCAGCAGCUUUAUGGCCAGUCAGUGCUACAGUUAUUGGAGGACCCUCAUGAAGACUGAGCUGCACAUCUGCUACCUACAUGUCAGGGGCCUUAGUCCAGCCUGUGUAUCCUAUUUGGUCAGUGGCUCAAUUUCUGUGUGUCCCCAAGGGACACUCCUGUAACUUUGCCAGUGCAUUUCUUUUAGACAGGACACAUUUUGUUCUGUGUGUCUACUGUGUCGUGGUUGAAACUAUAAAAGCCCCUAGCUUCCAAGUCUUGGGGUUGAAACCAUUGUCUCCUACGUGAGAUAUGUUUCAAACCAGAGCUCCGCCAUUAUGGCUCCACUAUGUGGUCGACACCUCUGUCUCCUGCAGGAGAUAUGUGUUGGCCCAGAGCUCUGUCAUUAAACUACCUCAUGCUUUUAUAUCAAGAUGGUCGUCUGUUCAUGAUUCUUGGGUGCAUGCCAAACGGGAAUUAAGUGGGGGUUUCCCCACUAGGUUCUUUCACAACAACAUAAGAGAAUACAUACAAGAGAGAAACCUCAUGAAUGUUAUU